rnacentral:rRNA from 1 species
AACGAACGCUGGCGGCGUGCUUAACACAUGCAAGUCGAACGCGAAAGGGACUUCGGUCCUGAGUAAAGUGGCGCACGGGUGAGUAACGCGUAGAUAACCUAUCUUCACGUCUGGAAUAAUACGCCGAAAGGGGUACUAAUACCGGAUAUUCUUGCUUUUCAUAAGUUUUGCAAGGAAAGGUGGCCUCUGUAUAUGCUACUGCGGGAAGAGGGGUCUGCGUACCAUUAGCUAGUAGGUGGGGUAAUGGCCUACCUAGGCAACGAUGGUUAGCGGGUCUGGGAGGAUGAUCCGCCACCCUGGCACUGGAACACGGGCCAGACUCCUACGGGAGGCAGCAGUGAGGAAUAUUGCGCAAUGGGGGAAACCCUGACGCAGCGACGCCGCGUGAGUGAGGAAGGCCUUCGGGUCGUAAAGCUCUGUCAGAGGGAAAGAAGUGCAUGAUGGCUAAUACCUGUCAUGUUUGACGGUACCCUUAAAGGAAGCACCGGCUAACUCCGUGCCAGCCGCCGCCGUAAGAC